UACGUAGGGUGCGAGCGUUAAUCGGAAUUACUGGGCGUAAAGCGUGCGCAGGCGGUUUUGUAAGCCAGGUGUGAAAUCCCCGGGCUCAACCUGGGAAUGGCAUUUGGGACUGCAAGGCUGGAGUGUGGCAGAGGAGACUGGAAUUCCUGGUGUAGCAGUGAAAUGCGUAGAUAUCGGGAGGAACACCGGUGGCGAAGGCGGCCUUCUGGUCGGAUACUGACGCUAAAACGCGAAAGCGUGGGGAGCAAACAGG
rnacentral:rRNA from 1 species